rnacentral:sRNA from 1 species
UAGACACUUCCUGCCGUUCAAGGCUAGCACUUCUCAAUCAGAAAUUAACACAACUGGAGAGACGAGUUGAAUACAUUGAGGCCAGAGUAACUAAAGGUGAAACUCUGUCUUGAAGAGAAAGUAAAAAACUGAGCAUGGAUGGUGAACACCAAGUCAAGCGAAAACCAAAUAAUCAAAUUAUGUUUGUUGUUCUUUCACCAUCAACGUUUUUAUAAUGAAGUUUUUCUUAAUUAAGUCUACAUAUAUCAACACCAUUGUAACAACAUUUGUAAACACAGUUUAAGAAUAGACUUGCUGUAUGUGCAAUACAAAAUGAGAAACAAAAUUAUGUUACGCAAAAAAGCUGUUGAUAAAAAAAAUUCAGUCAUUGUAAAGACUUUAAAAAUGCCAACCUCAAAACCCUUGUAUAACACACUUCAAUUAUCUUCAUAUUUAUUUUAUAAUUUAAGCUUUCCCGUUUUUGGUCAUUAGAAUUUCUAGACAUUUUCUAAGACUUACUUAUUGUAAACAUGUAAAUAAGAAUUGUGUGUUUGUGAAAGACCAUGGUGAAUGCUGCCAAUUACUUUAUUAUUAUACACCUAUUUCUUUAAUGAACUUGUGAAUGAAAAGGUUAAUUCAUACAUUCUUAAAAGAACAUCAUUUGAACCUUUAAUGUGUGUUUGUGUGUGUGAUUCUCAAGAAUAUAAAAAAAAA